rnacentral:pre_miRNA from 1 species
UAUGAGAUUUCUGAUAAUAUGAUAAAUGCAUAUUUAACUUUAUGAGACACUAGCAAAUGAUUUUCCAAAGUGGUUGUACCAUUUUGCCUCCUACCAGUAAU